rnacentral:rRNA from 1 species
GAUUCCAGGAGAGGUAAGCGGAUUCCUAGUGUAGCGGUGAAAUGCGUAGAUAUUAGGAGGAACACCAGUGGCGAAGGCGGCUACUGGACUGGCAAUGACGCUCAGGCUCGAAAGCGCGGGGAGCAAACAGGAUUAGAUACCCGGUAGUCCACGCCGUAAACGAUGAAUACUAGGUGUCGGGCCCGCACAGGGUUCGGUGCCGCGCAAACGCAUUAAGUAUUCCACCUGGGGAGUACGUUCGCAAGAAUGAAACUCAAAGGAAUGACGGGGACCCGCACAAGCGGUGGAGCAUGUGGUUUAAUUCGAAGCAACGCGAAGAACCUACCAGGCCUUGACAUGGCAGUGAAAAGAGAGGUAAUGCUUUCUCCUCCUUCGGGACACUCACACAGGUGGUGCAUGGUUGUCGUCAGCUCGUGUCGUGAGAUGUUGGGUUAAGUCCCGCACGAGCGCAACCCCUGUUUUCAGUAGCCAGCAGUUCGGCUGGGCACUCUGGAGAGACUGCGGGGACGACCCGGAGGAAGGUGGGGAUGACGUCAAAUCAUCAUGCCCCUUACGGCCUGGGUACACACGUGCUACAAUGGCAGGCACAACGGGCUGCGAACCCGCGAGGGCGAGCGAAUCCUUAAAGCCGGCCCCAGUUCGGACUGGAGGCUGCAACCCGCCUCCACGAAGUCGGAGUUGCAGUAAUCGCGGAUCAGCACGCCGCGGUGAAUGCGUUCCCGGGCCUUGUACACACCGCCCG